AUUUAAUGUUGAUUCUCUUUCUUCAUUGAAUUACCUUAUCCUCUCAUUUCUUACUCUUUCUGAGUCUCUGUUUACUUAUCUGAAAAAUGACAGUAAGAAUAUUUGCUAUGGAUUAUAAUUAGUCUUUGGGUGGUGAACAUGACGUAAUCUAUGCAGAAUUCGAAAUAUAUUACAGUGUACACCUGAGAGUUAUAUCCUGUUAUAAACCGAUGUUACUGCAAUGAAAAAUAAAGAAUGUUUGCUAAUUUCAGAAUCUUUCUAUGUAGAACAACCAAUAAAAGCAUUGAAAAGAAACUAGAAGAAAAUAAUGAUCACGUAUCCCAUCAUGGAAAAAGUUUGUGACUCUCUCAAUGGUCCCUUCAGCUCUCUAUUAUCAAGCUGUUGAUUGGCAGGUAAUAGUUAUGAAUGCUUACUUUCCACAAGCUGCUAGAACAGGAAGUGAAAAUUGUAAGUUGCUUGCAAACUAUGAAUGUGCAUUAGAGUAGCUUAAAAGCAUUAUUUCUCCAUAGUAAUAGAAAAUUUAGAAAUGUGUUUGCUUCUGACUAUGAUUUAUUCAAUCUUUCUGGUCUGAAAUACAAAAUGUGAGCAAUCCUGAUUUUAUUCAGCAUCAUAUUUAGAAAAAUGUAUGAGUGCCAUCUGCUGGAUUUCUCUGGUACCACCUUGAACAAGAUGUUACAGCAAAAUUGGAGGAAAUUUGAGAAUAACAAAUCCUUAUAAAAGAAUGAUCCUUCCUUCCUCCCUCUCUUCCUUCCUUCCCUCCUUCCCUCCUUUCUUCCCCAUUUAUGUAGGCAUAAAUUUUAAAUCUCUCUCUAUAUAAUUUUCAAUCAUUCCAUAUAAAUUUUCAAAUAUGUAUUUGAUACUAAUUUUCAAAGUAGUAUCACAUGUGCUCUAAAGAAAAAUUAAAAGUUUAAGGGACAUAAAAGUGAAAUUUUAGUAAUAGUACAGUCUAGUUCCACUUUUGCUAACCUUAAAAGAGGCUAAUUGGUUUAAUCAAUAUAUUUUCUUUAUUCUUGAAUUAAAAAGUAUAACUAACAGGGUCAUCCCGGUGGUGUAGUGAUUAAGUUGGCACAAUCCACUUCGGCAGUCUCGGGUUCGCAGGUUCGGAUCCAGGGCACGGACCUACACCACUCAUCAGGCCAUGCUGUGGCAGUGACGCACUUAAAAUAGAGGAAGAUUGGUACAGAUGUUAGCUCAGGGCCAAUCUUCCUCACAAAAAAAAUUAAAAAAGAAACAAAAUAAAAAUAAUAAAAAAUAUAACUAACAGACUUUCGACCUGAGACCACAUGAAAAAUUGGUGUUAAUUCAAGUUGUUGAUUAUUUGUAUAACUUCUGAGUGUGUUAGCCUCGAUUAUUUAGUGUUCAUCCUUAGUCUUCAAAGAUUCAUCCAUAAAUUAUUAGUCCAUCAAAUAAAGUGAAGUCAUUCUGCUUAGGAUCUUUGGUAAUUGACCUGCCAAUCAGCUUUAUCACCAGAUACGUGUUUCCUUUAAAGCUUUACUUAAAAAUUGGGUGACUAUCUGUUGACUCCAAGAAUAUCUUAAUAGUUGAAUAUCUGAUGGUACUUCGUGUGUCCAAUCCAUCACCAAAUUCUGUUAUUUCUACCUUCAACAUAUAUGCAGAAUCUGGAACCUCUUCUCCUCACGGCAUGGCUACUGCCCUAGUGUAGGCCCCUUGAUACUUCCUGUCUUUUUUCUGCUUUGUCUCUUAGCACUUAUCCUAUGUAUGUUACUUAUUUAUAAAUUGUGUCCUAUUCACUGUCUAUCUUUCAGACUAGAAUGUAAGCUUCCUGAAGGCAGAGAUUUUUGUCUCUUUGCACUGCUAUCUCCCCAGUGCCUAGAACAGUGCCUGACCUGUAGUAUGUACUCAAAUAGCUUAUUUCUCGAAUGGGUUUACUUUGCGUGGUUUUCUUCUUUCUCAAAUAAAAUAUUUUAUAAAUUAUGUUUGUACCUCUGAAAAAAAUAAAAAUUAAAAAAAAGAAAAUGCAAAAAUAAAGUAAAAUAAAAUAAAUUAUGUUAGUAGGGACAUAUUCUUGGUGCUUCUGUCAGCUCUAAACUUAUAAUGUCCAAAUGAGAAUAAUUGUUUCAUCAUUUACAUACACUGACAAUAUCUCUCUAUAUUUUAAGGUGAAAAAUUAGCACCAGCUAACUAAACAGGAUAUCAUGGUAGAUGUGGCAUGGGACCAAGGAGACCAAGACAUGGUCCUUGUACUUACGGAACUGACACUUCUUCUUCCUGAGGAUUGUUAAGGGGUUGUUGUGAAAUGACAAGACUAUUCAGACUCAGAGCUGCUAGAUUUAUCCUCCUUGAAAUAGGAGUUCUGAUGGCAGAGUCUGAUGUGGGUCUCGCUGGACUGAAAGCACGGUGUUGUCAGGGCUGCCUUCCUUCUGGAGGCUCAGCUGAUCCACAGACAAUUCCAUCUGCAACCUUCCGUCCUCUCUGCCAUGUAACGAACACAUUCAUAGGUUUGGGGGUUAGGAUGUGGACAUCUUUGGAGGGGGGCUUUAUUCUGCCUACUACAUCAAUGGAAUAUUUUUUUCUCUAAAACAGGUUAAGCUGUAUUCUAAAUUGUGCAGCACAUUUGUGUUGGUUUUCUUAGCAAAGUCCUUUUCAAUUGAGUGAAAAAUUCAGGAUUAGUUAGUGGCAUUUUACUUUUUAUGUGUCUGUGGCCCAUCUGCUGGCCUGCAAUAAAGUAAAAGCGUAAUGUAGUUGAGUGAUGGUUUUUUUUCUCGCGGGAAACAGGAUCCUGUAACAGAGAUGUUUUGUGGGCAGUUUUAAGUUUGCUGUUUUUCUCUCCUCCAUCCCUUCCUCCUCCUAGUUGUUCACUUCUCUGCUUUUCCUUUCUGAGCUUCUCCCGAACAUGCUUCUAUAAUUUUUUCUCUUAUUUUUCGUCUCCAUUCUUGUUGCCCGCGCUUUUCGUUUUAUCUAUUUUACCGGAUUACUUCUACUCUUGGGUAGUAAGCGAAGCUGUGUCCCCUUGUUUUCUAGAUUUUAAAACUUGAUGGUUACUCCCUAGCUGAAUCUCCCUUUUCUGUUAAAAAUCUUCAUUUGGAAGUCUCCCUAAAGAACAUAAAACCUCAAAGUAGCCUAUAAAAAUUAAAGCAAAAAUAUACACCCUCAAAGUAGCCUUUGGGAAAACCACCUUGUUGGUUCAAAUGUUUGGAAUCUGUUUUUACUUAAAAAGACAGAAGAUACUGCAGAGCGAUGUUCAGUAACAAGGCCUGUGUGUCUCUGAAGGGUUUCUGUCCUGUUGAUUCCCUUGGCAGAAAUCUGCCUAGUGACUUACCAUAGGUAUCUGUAAUAAUGUUGAAUGAACUUUUUCUUGUGCAUGUUUCACGGAGCUAUUAAAUAUAUUAUAACAGUCUCCAAUUUAAUGAAUUUUUUUUUGAAGUUUUGCUCUGAUAGGUGCUGUAUGGGUCACACACAGAAAAAAUAAGAUGUGGUCCAAAUAUGUAAAAAUCUUAAAUUCAAGUAUGCCAUGUUGCCUCAUGAAAUAAGCUUGGGUUUGUGUUCUAAAUAAAUAUUUUUAUUUGCUUUUAACUCAUCUUAUUUCAAAAUGGUCAUGUGGUAGCUUUAGAAUCAGG
ensembl:lncRNA